UACGUAGGGGGCGAGCGUUGUCCGGAAUCAUUGGGCGGAAAGAGCGUGUAGGCGGCCCGGUAAGUCCGCCGUGAAAGUCCAGGGCUCAACCCUGGAAUGCCGGUGGAAACUGCCGGGCUGGAGUCCGGAAGAGGCGAGUGGAAUUCCUGGUGUAGCGGUGAAAUGCGCAGAUAUCAGGAGGAACACCAAUGGCGAAGGCAGCUCGCUGGGACGGUACUGACGCUGAGACGCGAAAGCGUGGGGAGCAAACAGG
rnacentral:rRNA from 1 species